GGUUCAGAUUAGCCGUGUCCUACACCGCUUGACCGGAGUGACACGAGUCUGCAGGGCCGAGCCCAAGGCCUGGAGAUAGGAGCAGCCAGCAAGAAUGCCCGGAAUGUUUGCCUUCCUUCGGACUCUGCGGAGGCACACAGACCAUGGGGAUUCUGUCUGCGGUGACAGCCUUAACAUUUGCCAGAGCCCUGGACGCCGCUGUAGAAAUGGCAUUGCCCACCCUGAAAGUGAGAAGCAAAGCGUAGAGAAAUGCAGAGAACUCGAGAGCAGUUACUCUGCCUCCAGGAUCAACCUUGCACCAAAGAAAAAUAACCCAGAGAAAUGAUUCUGCCGCCCGAAAUGAAGCCGGGAUCAAAUAGCUGCUGAUCAGAGCAAAUAUUUAAAUUGGAUAAGUCGAAUUGAGCAUUAUUAAAUAAAGCUCAUUUAAUAUGUCUCGAACAGAAAA